rnacentral:tRNA from 2 species
UGUACUUUGGUGUAUGAAGCACGUGGAUUUUUGAUGUCUUAGGGAAUAGUUUAAAUCUAUUAAGUACAA